rnacentral:lncRNA from 1 species
UAAACAACUGGCAAGUGCGCAGGAUCUUAUCCACCCACGUCUGCCUCAGAUUUCAGCAUACAGCUGAGAGAAAAGAUGGUGGUCUCCAAAGACAAAUUGUGAAGACAGAAUACAUAAUCAGAAAGUAGAAUGUGGACCUAAAUACUCAGAAGCUCCUCUAUCAGUUAGAUUUGUAAGAAAAACUAAUGUGAAUGAAAUAAGUAAUUCCAAUGGAAUGGUGGAUGCACAGAAAUACCAGUGUUAGCGAAAUAGCAAAAUUUGCAUAACAUUAUAGCUGGACUUCAAGACAACUAAUGAUGUCCAAAGAAAAUAUGAGGCUUCCACAGCCACCAGAAGGACAAACAUACAACAAUUAAUUUUAGUGGAUUUCAAACUUGUUUUAAAUCUCAACAACCUUCUACUCAUGUUCAUGUCUUGAUUAAAUAUCGCAAUGAAAAAUACCCAUGCAUUAAGUAGAAGAAUUCCAGCUGGGAUAUCUUCAAGGAACUCUACCCGAUUUGUUAAACAUGACCUCCUCUGCCUGGGUCCUUGCAGCCUUCCUUCAAUAAAGUGGGCUUUUCCAGGUGUUCUCCAACCACAUCUUUUAAGAAUGUUUCCAAGAACUCCUCUACUGCACCCCUUCUAU